UUGUGUCUAUGAUGAAACCUGGUGUUCUAGAGACAUCUGAAAGUGCUGAUGAAUGCUAGCAGCUUUGGUGGAAGAAA